AUUGAACGCUGGCGGCAUGCCUUACACAUGCAAGUCGAACGGUAACAGGUUAAGCUGACGAGUGGCGAACGGGUGAGUAAUGUAUCGGAACGUGCCCAGUCGUGGGGGAUAACUACUCGAAAGAGUGGCUAAUACCGCAUACGACCUGAGGGUGAAAGCGGGGGACCGUAAGGCCUCGCGCGAUUGGAGCGGCCGAUAUCAGAUUAGCUAGUUGGUGGGGUAAAAGCCCACCAAGGCGACGAUCUGUAGCUGGUCUGAGAGGACGGCCAGCCACACUGGGACUGAGACACGGCCCAGACUCCUACGGGAGGCAGCAGUGGGGAAUCUUGGACAAUGGGGGAAACCCUGAUCCAGCGAUGCCGCGUGUGUGAAGAAGGCCUUCGGGUUGUAAAGCACUUUAGUUGGGGAAGAAAAGUAAUAAGUAAAUAAUUUAUUGCUCUGACGGUACCCAAAGAAUAAGCACCGGCUAACUCUGUGCCAGCAGCCGCAGUAACAC
rnacentral:rRNA from 1 species